CCUACGGGAGGCAGCAGUGGGGAAUUUUGGACAAUGGGCGCAAGCCUGAUCCAGCAAUGCCGCGUGCAGGAUGAAGGCCUUCGGGUUGUAAACUGCUUUUGUACGGAACGAAACGGUCCUUUCUAAUACAAGGGGCUAAUGACGGUACCGUAAGAAUAAGCACCGGCUAACUACGUGCCAGCAGCCGCGGUAAUACGUAGGGUGCGAGCGUUAAUCGGAAUUACUGGGCGUAAAGCGUGCGCAGGCGGUUAUAUAAGACAGAUGUGAAAUCCCCGGGCUCAACCUGGGACCUGCAUUUGUGACUGUAUAGCUAGAGUACGGUAGAGGGGGAUGGAAUUCCGCGUGUAGCAGUGAAAUGCGUAGAUAUGCGGAGGAACACCGAUGGCGAAGGCAAUCCCCUGGACCUGUACUGACGCUCAUGCACGAAGACGGUGGGGAGGACGAACGAGGAGUAGUAUACCGUACGGUAGUACCGACCGACCCGUAACCGAC
rnacentral:rRNA from 1 species